GACGUAGAAGUCGCUGCUGAGAUUUUUGGCAGCGGCGAUGCGGUUCCGAUUGCCGCCAGGCAGCACAAUACUCCCAACGCUAUCACCAACUUCAUUUUUCUGGAAAACGAAAAAAAACUAAUUGAGGAAAGUAAUUAAGAAGAAAAUAUCAGAUUAAUCGAUUAAUGAAAGUAGAGAUUUUACAAUAGAUUACUGUCGUUACAAUUCUAUUUAUUCUCGUAAGAAUGCAAGCAUCGUUGCAUAAUAUACGAAGAUGUUGUUAACUGAAUUACGAGAAUAAGGGAAGAACGUAACCACGAGAAACACAAUUUUCCCAGGACCAACAAAGAGUUUCAUUUGACACUGGAGUUAUUCUGACCUUCGACUGGCGACAUCAAGAUUCCCAUGCAGUCGUAUUCUCACGGCUAACGAGAAAUCAAAAGGAUAAGGGAAGAAACCAGGAAAUUCACGACUAAUUCUCUUAAUGUGAAAAUGAAGAAAGUAAACAGGGAAAUAAAAAUACAAGGUCACGAAAAAUUCAUGACUGAUGUUUGAUAUUCGAAGAAACGCAUCGAUCUUUCUUCGAGGAUAAAGAAAGAGAGAAGAAAAAUAAGAAGAAACGAGGUGCUCGUAUACGUAUAAUAUAAUUCGACGUUCCAUUAUCUUUCUCCAAAAAGAAAUGAGAGAAAAGAGGAACACGAAAUUCACGAGAAAUUCAUCAUUAAAAAGUGCAUCCAUUUGUUUCAAACAGAAAGAAAGGAAAAGAGGAAAACUGAGAGAACGAAUACCACCAAAAAUUUGCUUACUAUUUAUGUACGUGAUAGAUAUGCAAGAUCAAGCUUUCAUUGGAAGUUUACACGAAUGUUCUAGUUAUUAUUUAUAGCUAUUUUAGUUAUUCAUGAUUGCGGAUAAUGCAGUCCCUCUUAUAUUAAUCCAUAGGAAGUAUCCUUUCUUUACAUUAGAUAUCUUGGGUGCAAAUAAGCUGUCGAUAUCAAUCUUCAUUUUGUAUAAUUGUUUGUCAUUGUUCUACUAACUUUAUCAAUAUAUAUUUUAGAGAAAUCCCUAUCAUAAUGAAUCUCAUUCAAGAAUUCAAAGAAAAUUCCCCAUUUAAAAAAAAAAGCCCAGAGGAACCAUGCACUGCUUAUUAGAUAAUAAUCUAAUACCGAACCAAACUCCUGUUAUAUGUACUUCUAAAAUCGAAGUAACUUCCUCAUCUUCGUCCCUAAAUCGCGUUAGCGCAAUGGAUCGUAUUCGAGUUCUGGUUGACAAAAUGUGAAAGAUAUAAUAAAUAAGCUAUAGGUGUUUACGCGUUUAUGAAAAACAUUAAUCUAUAAAAAUGUACAAAAUGCA